UGAUGUCAAGGUCACAAUAUGAGCAAAGAGUGGGAUAAUUCCCACGAUAUGCGAAUAUUGGGUAGGAUUGUGAAAGUGCAUAGCACGGAAUAAUCCAUAGGCAUCA
rnacentral:sRNA from 1 species